rnacentral:rRNA from 1 species
CCUACGGGAGACAGCAGUGAGGAAUAUUGGUCAAUGGACGAGAGUCUGAACCAGCCAAGUAGCGUGAAGGAUGACUGCCCUAUGGGUUGUAAACUUCUUUUAUAUGGGAAUAAAACGUUCCACGUGUGGGAUUUUGUAUGUACCAUAUGAAUAAGGAUCGGCUAACUCCGUGCCAGCAGCCGCGGUAAUACGGAGGAUCCGAGCGUUAUCCGGAUUUAUUGGGUUUAAAGGGAGCGUAGGUGGAUUGUUAAGUCAGUUGUGAAAGUUUGCGGCUCAACCGUAAAAUUGCAGUUGAAACUGGCAGUCUUGAGUACAGUAGAGGUGGGCAGAAUUCGUGGUGUAGCGGUGAAAUGCUUAGAUAUCACGAAGAACUCCGAUUGCGAAGGCAGUUCACUGGACUGCAACUGACACUGAGGCUCGAAAGUGUGGGUAUCAAACAGGAUUAGAUACCCCUGUAGUC